GGCUCCAGCACCCCCCCGCCAGCACCUCCCCGGCCCCGCUCCCUCAGGUCCCUCUGAGGUGGGGGACCCCAGAGCCGUGCCCCCCGCCCCGGGGACGCCCCCCGCCGCUCACCCACGCGGAAGAUGAGCUCGUCCUCGAUGGGGUUCUCCUUCUUCUUGCCGCUGCUGUACAUGCUGGAGGGGCGCCGCACGGCCUUCUGCCGGAUGUGGCCGCUGCUGGGGGACUUGACGCGGCGCUUGACGUCGUCGGGGGAGGGGGGCACGUCGCUGGCCUUGACGGCGCGGACGCGGAAGGGGCUGCCGCGGAUGGGCUGCCCGUAGAGCAGGAUGGAGAGGAGGAAGUCCCCCUCGGCCCGGGGGGUGUAGAGCAGCUCGUAGGUGCCGUUCUUGUUGUCCGUCACCUCGGCCUCGGCGGCGGCGCCGUCGGGGGCCGUCACCUGGAAGCGCAGGCGGGCGCUGCCGCUGCGGACCAGCUCCCCGUCCUUGUCCUUGGUGGUGACGCUGAGGGAGGAGGGCUGCCCCACCACCGCCUGCCGCAGCCCCUCGCCCGUGGCCACCGUCUGGUGGGCCGUGGCGCUGGUGGUCACCAGGACGCCCAGGUUGAGGAUGGAGCGGCGGACGCCCUCCGUCUCCACCAGGUAGUCCAGCUGGGCGUUCUCCUGGGGGUGCUCGGGGAAGUCGCGGCUGGCCAGCUCGCUCAGCCGCUCGCCCAUCUGCUUCCGCACCAGCAGCACCUCGCUGGCCGUCCCGUGGUCCAGCGCCUGCUCCGUGAAGGCGCAGCUGCUGAGGAUGCUCUCCUGGCCCUGCCGCAGCGACUCCAGCUGCGCCUGCAGCACCUGGGGACGGGGGGGACAGGGAAGGGGGGGUCACCCGCCGCGCUGGGAGGGACCCCCCGCACCAGGACAGGAACCCUGGCACCAUGAUGGGACCCCCCACACCGGGACGGGAACCCUGGCACCAGGACGGGACCCCAAACACUGCAACAGGACCAUCAGCACCAUGCAGGACCC
rnacentral:lncRNA from 1 species